GUGGGGAAUUUUGGACAAUGGGCGCAAGCCUGAUCCAGCAAUGCCGCGUGCAGGAAGAAGGCCUUCGGGUUGUAAACUGCUUUUGUACGGAACGAAACGGUUCUCUCUAAUACAGGGAGCUAAUGACGGUACCGUAAGAAUAAGCACCGGCUAACUACGUGCCAGCAGCCGCGGUAAUACGUAGGGUGCAAGCGUUAAUCGGAAUUACUGGGCGUAAAGCGUGCGCAGGCGGUUUUGUAAGACAGAGGUGAAAUCCCCGGGCUCAACCUGGGAGCUGCCUUUGUGACUGCAAGGCUGGAGUGCGGCAGAGGGGGAUGGAAUUCCGCGUGUAGCAGUGAAAUGCGUAGAUAUGCGGAGGAACACCGAUGGCGAAGGCAAUCCCCUGGGCCUGCACUGACGCUCAUGCACGAAAGCGUGGGGAGCAAACAGGAUUAGAAACCCUUGUAGUCC
rnacentral:rRNA from 1 species